rnacentral:rRNA from 1 species
CCUACGGGAGGCAGCAGUGGGGAAUUUUGCACAAUGGGGGAAACCCUGAUGCAGCGACGCCGCGUGAGUGAAGAAGUAUUUCGGUAUGUAAAGCUCUAUCAGUAGGGAAGAACAUGAGGGUACCUGACUAAGAAGCCCCGGCCAACUACGAGCCAGCAGCCGCGGUAAUACGUAGGGGGCAAGCGUUAUCCGGAUGUUCUGGGUGUAAAGGGAGCGUAGACGGGAGCACAAGUCUGGAGUGAAAUGCCGGGGCUUAACCCCGGAUCGGCUUUGGAAACUGUACAGCUAGAGUGCAGGAGAGGUAAGUGGAAUUCCAAGUGUAGCGGUGAAAUGCGUAGAGAUUAGGAGGAACACCAGUGGCGAAGGCGACUUACUGGACUGUAACUGACGUUGAGGCUCGAAAGCGUGGGGAGCAAACAGGAUUAGAUACCACUGUAGUC